rnacentral:rRNA from 1 species
GACGAACGCUGGCGGCGUGCUUAACACAUGCAAGUCGAACGGAAAGGCCCUGCUUUUGUGGGGUGCUCGAGUGGCGAACGGGUGAGUAACACGUGAGUAACCUGCCCUUGACUUUGGGAUAACUUCAGGAAACUGGGGCUAAUACCGGAUAGGAGCUCCUGCUGCAUGGUGGGGGUUGGAAAGUUUCGGCGGUUGGGGAUGGACUCGCGGCUUAUCAGCUUGUUGGUGGGGUAGUGGCUUACCAAGGCUUUGACGGGUAGCCGGCCUGGGAGGGUGGCCGGCCACAUUGGGACUGAGAUACGGCCCAGACGCCUACGGGAGGCAGCAGUGGGGAAUAUUGCACAAUGGGCGGAAGCCUGAUGCAGCAACGCCGCGUGCGGGAUGACGGCCUUCGGGUUGUAAACCGCUUUCGCCUGUGACGAAGCGUGAGUGACGGUAAUGGGUAAAGAAGCACCGGCUAACUACGUG